rnacentral:rRNA from 1 species
GUGAACGCUGGCGGUAGGCCUAACACAUGCAAGUCGAACGGCAGCACAGUAAGAGCUUGCUCUUACGGGUGGCGAGUGGCGGACGGGUGAGGAAUGCAUCGGAAUCUACUUUUUCGUGGGGGAUAACGUAGGGAAACUUACGCUAAUACCGCAUACGACCUACGGGUGAAAGCAGGGGAUCUUCGGACCUUGCGCGAUUGAAUGAGCCGAUGUCGGAUUAGCUAGUUGGCGGGGUAAAGGCCCACCAAGGCGACGAUCCGUAGCUGGUCUGAGAGGAUGAUCAGCCACACUGGAACUGAGACACGGUCCAGACUCCUACGGGAGGCAGCAGUGGGGAAUAUUGGACAAUGGGCGCAAGCCUGAUCCAGCCAUACCGCGUGGGUGAAGAAGGCCUUUGGGUUGUAAAGCCCUUUUGUUGGGAAAGAAAAGCAGCAGGUUAAUACCCCGCUGUUCUGACGGUACCCAAAGAAUAAGCACCGGCUAACUUCGUG